rnacentral:rRNA from 1 species
AGAACCUUACCAGGGUUUGACAUCCUGNGAAUCCCUUGGAAACUUGGGAGUGCCUUCGGGAGCGCAGUGACAGGUGGUGCAUGGCUGUCGUCAGCNCGUGUCGUGAGAUGUUGGGUUAAGUCCCGCAACGAGCGCAACCCACGUCUUUAGUUGCCAGCAUUUAGUUGGGCACUCUAGAGAGACUGCCGGUGAUAAACCGGAGGAAGGUGUGGAUGACGUCAAGUCAUCAUGCCCCUUACAUCCUGGGCUACACACGUACUACAAUGCUACGGACAAAGGGCAGCAAACUCGCGAGAGCUAGCAAAUCCCAUAAACCGUGGCUCAGUUCAGAUCGUAGGCUGCAACUCGCCUACGUGAAGGAGGAAUCGCUAGUAAUCGCAGGUCAGCAUACUGCGGUGAAUACGUUCCCGGGCCUUGUACACACCGCCCGUCACACCAUGGAAGUUGGCCACGCCCGAAGUCGUUACUCCAACCCUUGUGGAGGAGGAUGCCGAAGGUGGGGCUGAUGACUGGGGUGAAGUCGUAACAAGGUAGCCGUACCGGAAGGUGC